rnacentral:rRNA from 1 species
AACGAACGCUGGCGGCAUGCCUAACACAUGCAAGUCGAACGAGGCUUCGGCCUAGUGGCGGACGGGUGAGUAACGCGUAGGAACCUGCCGAGUAGUGGGGGAUAACAGCUGGAAACGGCUGCUAAUACCGCAUACGCCCUUUUGGGGGAAAGAUUUAUCGCUAUUUGAGGGUCCUGCGUUCGAUUAGCUAGUUGGCGGGGUAACGGCCCACCAAGGCGACGAUCGAUAGCUGGUCUGAGAGGAUGAUCAGCCACACUGGGACUGAGACACGGCCCAGACUCCUACGGGAGGCAGCAGUGGGGAAUAUUGGACAAUGGGGGAAACCCUGAUCCAGCAAUGCCGCGUGCGUGAAGAAGGCCUUAGGGUUGUAAAGCGCUUUCACCUGUGACGAUGAUGACGGUAGC